AUCCCAUGAUGAUGACAUUUUCUCAGCAACUCCUUGAACCUUUCCCAUGCAUCAUACAAGGAUUCUCCAUCAUUCUGAAGGAAAUUGUUUAUCUCAUCCCCUAAUCUU